rnacentral:rRNA from 1 species
CAGUCGCCACGGGAAUACGGAGGGGGCUAGCGUUGUUCGGAAUUACUGGGCGUAAAGCGCACGUAGGCGGUGAGUUAAGUCUGCUGUGAAAUCCCCGGGCUCAACCUGGGAAUGGCAGUGGAUACUGGCUCGCUAGAGUGUGUCAGAGGAUGGUGGAAUUCCCGGUGUAGCGGUGAAAUGCGCAGAGAUCGGGAGGAACAUCAGUGGCGAAGGCGGCCAUCUGGGACAACACUGACGCUGAGGCACGAAAGCGUGGGGAGCAAACAGGAUUAGAUACCCCAGUAGUCCCUGUCUCUUAUAC